UUAUCAUGAGACACCAAUACCAUGCAUCAUCAUCAUCAUCAUCAUGGGUGUUUAUCUGGUUUUCGCUGUGUUCAUGAUCAAGUUUAGCUCAGGACUUUCACCUCUGUCCAAGGUUCGAGGUGAAGAAAACCUCGAAAUCAAGAGAUCAAAUGAACAGAGAGAUGGUAUCUGGAGUGAAUGUGUGUACUCCAGGGUGAAGCUACACUGAACUGAAGCCGUUCCGACUUUGAUGCCACAUGUCUAGACAUGAACUUAUUAC